AGUGAACGCUGGCGGUAGGCCUAACACAUGCAAGUCGAACGGCAGCACAGUAAGAGCUUGCUCUUACGGGUGGCGAGUGGCGGACGGGUGAGGAAUACAUCGGAAUCUACUUUUUCGUGGGGGAUAACGUAGGGAAACUUACGCUAAUACCGCAUACGACCUACGGGUGAAAGCAGGGGAUCUUCUGACCUUGCGCGAUUGAAUGAGCCGAUGUCGGAUUAGCUAGUUGGCGGGGUAAAGGCCCACCAAGGCGACGAUCCGUAGCUGGUCUGAGAGGAUGAUCAGACACACUGGCACUGAGACACGGUCCAGACUCUUACGGGAGGCCGCAGUGGGGAAUAUUGGACAAUGGGCGCAAGCCUGAUACAGCAAUACCGCGUGGGUGAAGAAGGACUUAGGGUUGUAAAGCCCUGUUGUUGGGAAAGAAAAGCAGCAGGUUAAUACCCCGCUGUUCUGACGGUACCCAAAGAAUAAGCACCGGCUAACUUCGUG
rnacentral:rRNA from 1 species